rnacentral:lncRNA from 1 species
GGGCCUACAGGCUACAAUGCACAACUCGAUCAACCAGGUUGCCCACAUGAGAUGAGAGAAAAUGUCGUCUGCAGAGGUGGCACGUUGUUGCGUGCACGGCUCAUUGCUGAACGUCCACCCGUCCGCGCUGCGGAUGUUGACCAUCGGCGACCAUGGUUGCGGAUGUUGAAACUUUGCAAGCAGCUAGGCACGAGGAAGAGAGAACCUUCCAG